GGAGUUGUGGCUCAGUGGCAGAGCGCUUGCCUAGCAUUUAUGAGGCAGUGGUUUCAAUCCUCAGCACCA
rnacentral:tRNA from 1 species